CCAUACAGCGUUGAAACAUUGGUUCCCGUACGAUCACCGAAGUUAAGCAACGUUGAUCCCGCACAAUACCUAGAUAGGUGACAGCUUGGGAAUACAAAAUGCUGUAA